GCGGGAAUAGCCAGUUGGUAGAGUAUGAGAUUCUUAAUCUCAAAGUUGUGGGUUUGAGUCCCAUGUCAGGCA